rnacentral:lncRNA from 1 species
GAGCCAAGAAUGCAUAUUCAGUUUUCUGACUCUAUUUAAUGCCUAAAGCAUUUUAGUAGAAUCACAAUAGUCCUGAAGGAACUUUAAAGGGUAAAGUAAGGUACUCUCUUAUUUCUAAAUAAGACUGUAAUUAACUCUCCUAGAGAAGUGAAUACAUUUAGUCUCUGAAGGAUUUGCUUUAGAAAAGAACUGGAUUAGAAAGGGAAAGUAGAGUAGGAAAACUCAAUCUUUCAUCCCUGAUUAACCCCCUCCUAUUCUAGCAGUUCCUGCUUUUAUAAUGAUUGGCUCUGUGAGGCCUUUUAUUGUUCUCAAGAAGAAUAUGCUUGAAGAGAAUAUAAAUAUUUUUAUAAAUUUGAAUAUAAUUUCAAUAUAAUAUAUAAUUAAUUCUCAAUAUAAUUUUUGGUUGUUAUUCCCCCUCCUCCCAUUUAGAGAAUGGCAUUUCCUUUACACUGUUUAAUAUAGUUCCCUGGACCAGCACAUUUGUCUCUAAUAAGCAUCAACCAUUAUGCAGCAGCAAUUCUUCAUUUGGGGUAAAGUCACUUCACAGAACAACCAUGGAGGUAAAGCAAAAUAUUAGAAUGUGAGGACCUGAGGGCUUUAAGAAGUCUUCUAAUUCAUUCCUCUGACUUCAAGUAUGAACACAUAAUCCAUCACAAGGGAGACUCUUCUAUGUUCUGAGAUUUUAGAGGAAAAAUCCAAUCUCCAUUGUUAACUGAUUUCUGACUUCACUGGGUUAUGUACCAUAAGUCACUCUGCUGUUCUGACGGUGAUGACAGUGGUGUGGUUACAUUUUGUUUACUGAAGUUAUAUUUGUUUUGUUUCUUGACAAUGUUUUAUUAAAAUUAUUGUGCAAUUAUUUGCCAGCAUUCAUUUCCUAACUCACUUCCAUGAUACUUGCUCAGAAAUCAUGCUUGUCCACUCUUUAAUUAUUUGGUCAAUACCUUCUGAUCUAUCUCUAUAUUGUCCUUACUUUCUUUGGGGACAAUUAGAAGGAAAAAAAAGUCGAUACAUAAAUCUUUGUAAAUUUGCCACUGUACUUUUCCCCUUUUAAGUAAUUCCAGCUCCACACUUUCAUUGCAUGUAUCCUACCUGCUAGUCUGGCAUCACAGAUUUAGCAAAGACUGGUCAAGCUUCACACUAGAUUCAGAUGUUAUAGUCUCAAGUGAAUUGAUUGCUCCCUCUUCUGGGUUCACGUUGCUCUUCAUACCUAGCUUAUUAUUAGAUUGUACAUAUUAUACUUUUGUUUUUAGGUACAUAUGUGUUUCAUAGACAUAUUAAAGUACAGUCAGGAUUGGAACUAGGAAAAUACUUGUUGAGGUUAAAUGCUCAGUAAACGUAAAAAAGCAAAAGAUUCAAAGAAAAAAGAAAAAUCAUUUAGAAGUGGAGGGGAGAUCACAAAGAUGAUCAAGUUCAACUAGUUUUUACCAAUAAGGAAAGUAAGACAAUAUUCUAGGAGAAAAUGUCCUGAUAAAAAGGUAGAAAGGAGAGACCCCAGCCAUGAUGACUAAGCAAAGUCUAGCCAACUGCCCCAACCACCCCUUCCCUACACAUCUGCUUCUGUAAACUUGUUUCCGCAUGUAUUACUUUGCCAGUUCUCACUCUGGUCUGCCAAGCAUGGAUCCAGAAGAACUAGCCCAUAAAAGCCUUGUGAAACCCCUCUUCGGGACUCAGACUCCAGAGAGCGAUCUCCUCUGAGCCCACCGGCAUAAUAAACCUGAGUUCUCCAACUCUCUAAGUUCUUGCUUGGUUUCUCACCGGGUGAAAGAGCUGCUAGAGCUGGUACACUGGCCAUAGGGCUGCCACCAGAGCUGAUACACUCCAGCCUUGGGCUGCUGACAGCCGCCACAACAAUAUGAAGUUAGGUGAGCCAAAGUCAGAUGUCAAUGAGAGGCUGUUGUAGAUAUUUUGAGUUUGGGAGCACCAAGUACUCAUGUCCCCAUUUAUUUAAUAAAAGUACUCUGGGAGUUCCCAUCGUGGCGCAGCAGAAACAAAUCCAACUAAGAACCAUGAAGUUGUUGGUUUGAUCCCUGGCCUCGCUCAGUGGGUUAAGGAUCUGGUGUUGCCAUGAGCUAAAUCCCACAUCCAGAAAUCAGCACUAUAUACUGGCAUAGAGUUAAUAUUUCAAAAAUGAAAUAUAAUUAAGUUUGCUGAAGUUUUCUGCUGAGUUUGGGAGAAACUUGCAACCACAGAAGAGGAAAGAUGUAAGAAGAAAUUUACAUCAUGGCAGUUCAAGAUUCCAAAAUAUUUCACAUUGUAAGGUAUGUGGAAAGUAUUCAUUCCAAUGUUGUAAGGGCAAACGAAUCAAAAGAGCUUAAGUUCCCACCAAAAGGAAGCUGGUUCAUUAAAUUAUGAUACAUACCUCAUUGGGCUUCUAUAGAGCUGUUAAAAUAAGAAGAUUGGUCUCUAUGUCCUGAUAUGAAAUUGUCCUUAAGACAAUUUUUAAUUUAAAAAAAAAAGCAAGAGGCAAGAGAAUGUGUAUAGGAUGCAACUAUUUAGGUUAAAAGAGAACUCAGAGAGGGUGCCCAU